GCCUUCGUGGUGUAGUGGUCAGCACGUUCGGUACGUAAUCGAGAAGUCCGUGGUUCGAGUCCCGGCGAGGGCA
rnacentral:tRNA from 1 species